GGGGAUUUGGCUCAGUGGUAGAGCGCUUGCCUAGCAAGCACAAGGCCCUGGGUUCGGUCCCCAGCCG
rnacentral:tRNA from 1 species